UAGUCACUCAUAAAAGGUCAAGAACAACACAAGAGGUGAGAGGGACAUACAUUGCACAAGUUGUUACCCUAAGAGAAUGUGUAUUAUCCUUUUUUAAACAGAGGUUGGAUAGCCAACUGCCAUGUAUGAUCUAGCUGAGAUUCCUCCUAGGAUUCUGUGACAUUCUGAUCAUUCAUAUUCUUUUUCUCUAUGUCAGUCGAGGUGAUUUGGUUGCUGUGGAAUGUUUGCAUCCCUUAGACUGUGUUUGCUGUAGCUUUUUGAUUCUCAGAGUAGCGCCAAGAAAUUAGAUUCAAGGACUGGAUUCCUUAAGUACACUUAAGAGAACGCAAAUUCCUAAGCCAGUGUUUUGUUAAGGGGGCAGAGGGGGGGCACUCUAGGGGGUGCAUGAGAAUUUGUUAUAUAUACUGUAACAACUGGGAUGGAGUUCAAAAACAUUUUUGCAUAUGCAGUAUUGGUAAAUAGGCCACUGUUGGAGUUUACAGGUUUUGUGAAUGGUUUUAUUAAUUGAAAAGUUCAGGUUAUCUGACUAUUAUAAGUUUACUGAAGAAGGUGGGGGGAGAGAGUGAGGUGGCAGAGAAAAGCAAUAGAAAAAGAGAGAGAAAAGGUAGUGCAGAGACGGGUAGGGUUGUCCUCAGAAUUCCUGUGCACAUCCAAACAUAAAAUCCGCAGCUAAAAGUGAAGUGGCAGAUGGGUAACCCCACCAACGUCUGUUGGGGAUGAAGAAAGAUGGAGUACAAAAGGGGCAGAAUAACAGGAGGAGAUGGUGACUUUGCAACUGGACAGAUGGUGAAAAGGUGCGUAGUAGUUCCAACGUGUGGGAGGAGGAAGAUACAGGACUAAUGGGGUGGUCUGAGUGUAAGGGGGUUGCACAAAAGGAAGGGAGGCAAGGACAUGGGGGUGAAGAUGGAAACAGGUUCAAAGCAGGGCUGCAGCACAGAUGAGAGAAGUGGCUUCAGAAAUAGGGUUUGCAAGGUGAAAAGGGGGUGUAGUAGUUGCCUGGGAUGGGAAGGCAAGCUCUAGGGAGUUAACGGGGGGGGAAUGGCUGAGGGGUUCGCAAAUGGAGUGAGCAGGGGCAGAGGCCCUUUGUCCAAUCAUAUCUUUAGAUGCCCAGGUAUCCUCUCUGGCACACCUUUCACCAGCAGAGGCUGGCAUGAAAACUGUGGCCUCUUUAGGACAGAGAUCGCUUGAACACCAUUAUUCACGUGCUGGUAAUACUCAGGGUUUUCUUUUUUUCUGAUAUCCCGCCUUUCACUCCCUUUAAGGAGUCUCAAAGCGGCUAACAUUCUCCUUUCCCUUCCUCCCCCACAACAAGGUGAGUGGGGCUGAGAGACUUCAAAGAAGUGUGACUAGCCCAAGGUCACCCAGCAGCUGCAUGUGGAGGAGCGAAGACACGAACCACACUGGCUCCCCAUCAACCUUAGUACAACUGUACUGAUUCCUGUCCAUUUCUGAAACAAACACAAGUCUCCAGAUCUUACCUUUUAAAGCUCUUAAGAUUUAUAGUGUCUGAGGGGCUGGCUACUUUUCCCUGCCCAGUUACUAAGAUCUUCCUUCUUCAACCCCCCACUUACUUUCAGAGGCAAGAUGCUGGUGACUAAAGAUAGGGCCUUCACAGUUGUGGUAUCCUGACUAUAGAAUGGUUCCUCCAAGGAGGCUCCCCUAGCGCUGAGCCUAUUUGGGUGUUGUGGUUGUUUUAAUUACCUUUUUAAUUCACCUUUUAUUUCACUAAGCUUUUAUUUGAUUUUUAGUCUAUCUUGUUCCAUUUUGACCUCCUGCUGCUUUUUAGUUGCUCUGGGAGACCUCUAUCUGGAGAGUGGGAUAUAAAUAUCAUAAAUUAAUAUGGCAGAAAGACCCAGUGCUUUCAAGAGUCUGUGCUGUGCAUAGUGCAGUUCUGUUUGACAGCAAAUACUGCUGUCCACUGAAUUCCAGUGCAGUUCCAAAGAUUUGUAUUAAAAAUGGUUCCUAGUUUUGAAGCAGUAAUAUACAUGUAUAAUCAGUGGUGGGACUUAAUUAAGGGCACCCUACCUCUCCAUAUAAUUUUGCUGUGUAGCUCUCUCAAACAAGAACCUAAAAAGAAUACAGUGGUACCUCGGGUUACAUACGCUUCAGGUUACAGACUCCGCUAACCCAGAAAUAGUACCUUGGGUUAAGAACUUUGCUUCAGGAUGAGAACAGAAAUCAUGCUCCGGCGGUGCGGCAGCAGCAGGAGUCCCCAUUAGCUAAAGUGGUGCUUCAGGUUAAGAACAGUUUCAGGUUAAGAACGGACCUCCAGAACGAUUUAAGUAGUUAGCCUGAGGUACUACUGUACCUCCUUUCCUGACUUCAGUAUCCUAUAAACUAUUCUGUACUUAAUUCUGCUGAAUUUAUACAGUUUCAGGAUCGAGGCCAACUUUCACGGCGGCUCUGUAUUCAGAACUACAUGUGUCCAUAUUAUAACACUGCAGAGGGUUCUGAAAUCUAAAUUAAGCCACAAUUAGACUUACACAGAAGGUCGUUUUCUGUGACUCAUUCCUGCCAGGCAAGGAAAUCACUUCCUUUCAGUGAUCUAGAUGAGAGGUUUCCCUUGAGAGGAAGUAGAGUUAGGAGAUUUUCUAAUUACCUAACUUUAACAUAAUGGAAACAGCUAACGAGAACACAGCACAUAACACUCUGUACAUAACUGAACAUAUCAACAUUUCUUAGAUAUAACAUUUUAAAUGUAGUUGCCAGAAAGAGAUUCUCCAAACAUAUUCUUCAAGAACAUGGAGCAACAGUAUAAUUAAUUUAUUUUUUCAGUAUUCCUAUGCUGAAAGGAAACACGGAUACUGUUUCCUGCCUCAGAAAGGAUUCAUACGUCUAUCCGGGAGGCAGUGUUUCUACGCCCUCUUCUGGUUAGAUGUAAAUCUGUCUUGAAUGUCAUAUCUGGAAGUAUAGCAGAAGUAGAGUUUCUGGUUUCUCCAAUCUUUUUUCUGCGUUUCCACAUGAGUUUGCAUUUUUUAAAAAAUAAGGUCCCCAUUAAAAUUUGUCAGUAUUUUAGUGUAGUUUUCUCCAUAUAUAUUGCUGCUGUUGUUAGCAUCCAUCUGUCUUGAGAGAAAAUGGAGGACGCCUCCAGGGGUGAAGUCAAACGGCUGUGUUAGUAGCACCCAAGUGACUUCCCCAAUAUGGAGGUCCAGGGCUGCCCAGUCGACAAGAACCCCCUCUGAUGUGGUCCAAAGCAAUACAUUUGGCAACAGCUUGGCUGCAGUUGCUUGGCGUACAAGGCACCAUCCAACUGUCUUAGGGACUCCACUCUGGAUUUGUGUAGGGUUUACUCCUUAGCCUUUUCUUCUCCUGAAGAUAUACUGCAAGGUAGUGGAGGUUUAGGAUCAGAGUUUUCCUUCUCCUAGAUGGGCUACCUUCCCAGGUUGACAAGCCCCAUCUGCCCCUCACUUCCCUCUACAGCCCGUGCAGAAACCGCUUCUUGACCGUUUGAUCCACUGUUGGUUUCAUCCGCUCAAUCUGCCGGAGGCAGUCUUUGAAUGCAGAGGAAGUCCCUAACUCACUGAGGGUUUGAGAUCCAUAGGCUACCCUCACCUGGUUUAGCUGGCAAGUCAAGGUAUACAGUGGUACCUCGGGUUACAGAUGCUUCAGGUUACAUACGCUUCAGGUUACAGACUCCACUAACCCAGAAAUAGUGCUUCAGGUUAAGAACUUUGCUUCAGGAUGAGAACAGAAAUUGCGCGGCAGUGGCGCAGCAGGAGGCCCCAUUAGCUAAAGUGGUACCUCAGGUUAAGAACAGUUUCAGGUUAAGAACGGACCUCCGGAACAAAUUACGUUUUUAACCCAAGAUACCACUGUAUAUUGUUAAAUGCAAUUUUGCCUCAUAUACAUGUUUUUGCAACAAAAACAAUGCCUUUCUGUUUGUUGUUUUCAGUAAUACAUUAUUAUUAUUAUUAUUAUUAUUAUUAUUAUUACAGUCAUACCUUGGUUUACAAACAGCUUAGUUGUCAAACAUUUUGGCUCCCGAACUCCGCAAACCUGGAAGUGACUGUUUUGGUUUGCAAACUAUUUUUGGAAGCUGAACGUCCAAUGGGGAUUUUGCAGCUUCCAGUUGGCUUUACCCCUGUGCAUACAUUUUUGUACACAUUAAUUGGGUGGAGAAGUGCACUGCAAAAUUCAGAGAAGUUUGGAUUACUAAGGAUAUGUUGUGUUUCAGUUUGCACAUCAUUUCAAGGAGUGUGAGUUAGGGAGGUAUGCAAACUAAGCCAUUUUUCUCCCUGUCCCUUUCUAUGAGGCAGUAUAUAUGCUUUGUAGGAACAGUGACUGGAAAAAGCACUAGCUUCAGUGUGGAAUGAAGGGAGGAGGGGAGUGACUUUGGCUAGGGACAAAGGGAGGGGUGGGUGGUUUUGAGAGGGGGUUUGGCAGGGGUAGGUGGAAUUGGCAAGCAAAGUGAGCAGGGGCACAGUCCCUAAUAUAAUACGUUUGUUUUCUUUAGGGUGGUUCUUUAAUUCCAUGCUUUCUCUGAUUCCUAGGACGAUAAUUGCAUGUUACACAGAUAAAUUACAGCUGUUGCCAAUCUGUGUCAAUUAUGCAGUCUAAUCGCUGUGGAUAAAACAAGUCACAGUGCACAAUAUUGCUAUAUAAAUAGAUAAGCAAGCCAUUUCUACCUAGAUUUCUACCACCUGCUGGAAAUGGUGAAACCUCAAAUAAGUUUCAGCCCAAAAGAUAGCGGUUAGUCUCCUAUGAAUGAAACACAAACAUAAGAGCAAACACACAAAUAAGCACAACUGUAUCAUUUUGCACGCAGCGCAAACAAAGUAAUACUCAUCUGCCGAUGCAGGAAUAGAUUUCUCAUUAUAAAAAAACAAGGAUAAGUGGUAUAAACAUGGGCUGUAUUAUUAUAUGCAGGGAGUAUCACAGCACUGACCGUACUUCCACAUCCAGCACUGAAAAGCCAGCACACUGAAGAUUUGGGCUGAGUUUGUAGGUGCACGUUCACCACUUGAAUAAAUGUAAUAUGAAGUGAUGCCUUGCUUCUGUCAAAGACCCAUCACCAAAGCCAACCAAUCACAUCCCUGACAAAGCUAUCAUGUCACCUAAUACAUCUUCAUCACCUAAUAUUUUAAUGAUUUAACACAGUCUAUUCAUUCACACGAUGAGGCAGAAUGAAACCCAUGGCAUUUCCAACUCUGCUGUACAUUAUAUCUGUAUUUCUUUUAGCAGAAUGGGCAGAAGAUGGGUAUGCAACAACAAUGUGCUGUUACGGCACAGAUAGCUAAUGGUAUUUUUAGGUUGUAUAGGCAGGAACAUUGUUCCUGUGACUCAGUAAGCAAUAGUAGUACCUUGGGACUGGCAUGGUCUCAUUUGGAAUGCUGUGAACUAUUCUGGGAGCUUACCAGAAUCUUGCAGAUGAAGUCUGUCAACAUACUGCUUGGAUAAGGAGGUCUGCUUUGGAUUAAUUCUGUGUCUGUAUUUGCUGCAGCUUCUGCUGAAGCUUAAACCAGUUAAGAGAUAAUCACUUCUAAUAUUCUCCUGUUUAUCAUCAGAAGUCAAAUCAGAAAUAGCCAAUUUCUGUAUUGCCUUGGGCUACUCUGUUCUACAAACAAUGUUUUGUGGAACAAAAGCAUAUUUUGCUGCACAAGCUGAACCACUUGUGAAUAGUCACAUUGCACAAUGAAGAUGCCACCCUCUAGCAGGAAUGGGUUUCUAACUGUGGGACACUUGCACUCAGGUAUAGGAUGACAUACAAAUGUCUACAUGUACAUAUUACAUGUAAAAUAAAAAACAGGUGUAACAUCAAUUGUCACCAUCAAUUGCAUUUAUGUACUCCCACAGAAGUCACAACACUCCAAAAUACAACCAUCACAAAACUAUUAAAACUUCUAAAAUACAUAUUUAGAAAAUGAAGAAUAUAGUUCAGCAGACAGUGAUGCUAAAAUUGUUAAUUCCUUUUAUGUCCCAAUAGUUCAUACAACACAUGGAUCUUCAGUUGACACCAAAAAGUUUUUAACAUGGAGGAAAGCACAUUUCCCCAGGAGGAACUGGGGCACCACCACCAGGAAGGCCCUCCCUUACAUAACAAAAACCGUCCCCUUACUCCUGUAGACUCAGUCACAGCCAACCCUAAUCUCACCUGGGAGUGAUCUGUCUAUGACAGGGGGUGACACUCACCUUCUCAGCACUGGAUCACUCCCAGUCUGCUCUGUACUGAAGACCAAUUGAGAGUAUGACCUGCAACAUGUGCUUGACCCGUGAUGCAUUGAGGCAGAUCCACAGUUGUCUUGAUGACCAUGAAGUCCAGAGCCAGACCAGAUAAGGUGGACUCCGCUUCUACAUUUAAGACUCCCGGGAUUAUUGUUCAAGGGUUCUCCAAAACCACAGGAUUGACAGUACACCAAUAAAAUGUCCUUCCGGCACAACAGCAAGUGGAGAUUCACAUCUUGUUCCCAGACAGGUUGGUUUCCUAGUGAGGAAUGUGGAAUUUCUAUGGAUGACUACAAACUGCACACACACC